AACGUAGGACGCAAGCGUUUAUCCGGAGUUACUGGGCGUAAAGCGCGAGCAGGCGGCUCGACAAGUUCGCUGUGAAAGCUCCCGGCUCAACCGGGCGAGGCCAGUGGAAACUAUCGAGCUGGAGGGCAGUAGAGGCAGGCGGAAUUCCGGGUGGAGUGGUGAAAUGCGUAGAGAUCCGGAGGAACACCAGAGGCGAAGGCGGCCUGCUGGGCUGCACCUGACGCUGAGCCGCGAAAGCCAGGGGAGCGAACGGG
rnacentral:rRNA from 1 species